rnacentral:rRNA from 1 species
UACAGAGGUCUCAAGCGUUGUUCGGAUUCAUUGGGCGUAAAGGGAGCGUAGGUGGCGCCAUAAGUCAGGUGUGAAAUCCCCGGGCUCAACCCGGGAACUGCGUCCGAUACUGACAGGCUUGAAUCCGGGAGAGGGAUGUGGAAUUCCAGGUGUAGCGGUGAAAUGCGUAGAUAUCUGGAGGAACACCGGUGGCGAAGGCGGCAUCCUGGACCGAUAUUGACGCUGAUGCGCGAAAGCCAGGGGAGCAAACGGG